rnacentral:rRNA from 1 species
AAUCAACGCUGGCGGCGUGCCUCAGACAUGCAAGUCGAACGAUUAAAGCUUACUUCGGUAAGUGUAUAGAGUGGCGCACGGGUGAGUAACACGUAAGUAAUCUACCCUCGGGUGGGGAAUAACCCAAGGAAACUUGGGCUAAUACCGCAUAAUGCAGCGGCUCCGUAUGGAGACAGUUGUUAAAGCAUUUAUGCGCCUGGGGAGGAGCUUGCGGCAGAUUAGCUAGUUGGUAAGGUAAUGGCUUACCAAGGCAACGAUCUGUAGCCGGCCUGAGAGGGCGGUCGGUCACACUGACACUGAAUAACGGGUCAGACUCCUACGGGAGGCAGCAGUCGGGAAUUUUGGGCAAUGGGCGAAAGCCUGACCCAGCAACGCCGCGUGAAGGAUGAAGUCCCUCGGGAUGUAAACUUCGUAAGUAUGGGAAGAAUAAAUGACGGUACCAUACGUAAACUCCGGCUAACUACGUGCCAGCAGCCGCGGUAAUACGUAGGGAGCAAGCGUUGUUCGGAUUUACUGGGCGUAAAGGGUGCGUAGGCGGCGCGUCAAGUCACUUGUGAAAUCUCCGGGCUUAACUCGGAACGGCCAAGUGAUACUGUCGUGC